ACGCUCGACAGUGUCAGCAGCCGCGGUAAUACGAAGGGGGCUAGCGUUGUUCGGAAUCACUGGGCGUAAAGGGCGCGUAGGCGGCCAUAUAAGUCGGGGGUGAAAGCCUGUGGCUCAACCACAGAAUUGCCUUCGAUACUGUAUGGCUCGAGACCGGAAGAGGUAAGUGGAACUGCGAGUGUAGAGGUGAAAUUCGUAGAUAUUCGCAAGAACACCAGUGGCGAAGGCGGCUUACUGGUCCGGUUCUGACGCUGAGGCGCGAAAGCGUGGGGAGCAAACAGGAUUAGAUACCCCUGGUAGUCCACGCCGUAAACGAUGAAUGCCAGCCGUUGGGCAGCUUGCUGCUCAGUGGCGCAGCUAACGCUUUAAGCAUUCCGCCUGGGGA
rnacentral:rRNA from 1 species